GCGGUUGUGGCGGAAUUGGUAGACGCGCAGCGUUGAGGUCGCUGUGGGGUAACUCCCGUGAAGGUUCGAGUCCUUUCAGCCGCACCA
rnacentral:tRNA from 3 species